GGUGAAAGUGAGCUCAGACGUAACCUAAACCCGUGGAGCUUGGCAGAAGAGAAGCAUCUGGUGAGAGGAGUGGAAUAAUCUCACUGCUUCCAGGGUUUCCCCAGAGGUGAGCUCUGGGGUUCACAACGGCUGGAUGUCUUUGCAGCUGUGUUCUACAGUCUGUCCUGGCCACCCUUUUGCUUCCGGAUACAAUUCAGUUUGUGAAGCAAGAGAGAGGCUCAGAGGAUGUCGGACCACAACAGUUAGAAGCUCGUGGCCUUCACUGCUAACCAACCACAAACAAACCAGUGAACACCCAUCCUGCUUUCACUCUGCAUUCUGUGCUGUGUGGAGGGAUUGUCUGCUGGCCCCUGGGAGGUGAAGUUCUGUGUUAGUCCUGGAGCACCUGCCUCCAUCCAUUGCUGGGGGUCGUUCUCUUGAUCAUCUCUUGGUGUGGCUGAGUGUUUCUACAAACAGAAACUCAUCGACAGACGUCCUCUGGUGCCCACUGACAAGCUAGCAGCAAACCCACCCAGCCUGCUGCUUUGUGGAUGCCGAUGGCAGUGUCCCUGAGUGCUUUUGGGGCACACCGCCUGUGUGUUAAAUAUCCUCUAAUAGCUAGAAGAGCCACCUAUUAUUUGGAAAGCCCAGCACCUGAGGAAGAGAGUCAGCGCCUCGCCUGUGGAAGGAGGUAUGAGGUGUGACUCUCAGGAACCACCAGUGGCCAGGAUCCCUCUGUGAGGUAGGGUCUCCUCCGCAGGGAGACACUGGCCUGCAGUCAUUACCUGACUCCAGGUGUUGCAGGAGCUCAGGGUAGUGCUUCUCAACCUUGCUGUGCUUAAGAGACACCUGGGGUCUUGGGCAGGUUCUGAUUUAAAUAAUCUGGGCUGGGACCAAGAUUCUGAAUUUCUGACCUGCUUUUAGGUGCUGCUGAGAGCUUCUGCUCAGCACACCACUCACAGUAACAAAGGCCCGGGUCAGGGUUUCUCAGCCUUGGCACUGUUGACACUUUGGGUCACAUUAUUCUUUGUUGUGGGGGCUGUCAAGUGUGUUGUAAGAUGCCUAGUACCAUUCCUGGCCUCUACUCACCUGGUGCCAGCAGUGCUCCUCCAGGUGUGAAAGAACCAGAAAUGUCUUCAGCCAUUGCAGAUAUCCAGGGAAUGGGGGUGUGGGGCAAAAUCAUCUCCAAUUGAGAACCACUGGCCUAGAUGCUUCUCUGCCCUUAGUUUGUUUUUCAAUGAUUCUUUGGAUUCUCUGAGCCAAUGAAUUUCCCUUUUGCUUAAGCUAGUUUAGUUAAAUAUUUAUGAACUUUUAAUUAAAUCUGACAAUUUACAUACAUGUAAGUAUGUAGUUAUGUAUGUGGUUUUACAUAUAUUGCCUGUGUACUCCACCAAGCUCUGUAAGUGUACAUGCCAUGUAUGUUUAUUUUAAUACUUAGCCUGGGGUCCAAUCUGUGGGAGGUAGUGGAUAAAUGCCAACUGAAUGAAUGAAAUUCUAUAAGGGAUGGUGUAUACAUGCUUUUUCCUUUCCUUUUGAGCUCUAUGAUCUUUUUCAGAAAUAUUUUAUUGAAGUAUAUCUACCCUAAAAAGUACACAUAAGUAUACAGCUUGAUGAAUUUUCACACAUUGAACACUCGUGUGUUAUAGGCCCCCAGAUCAGCAACAGAACAUGCUCAGCAUCCCAGAAGCAUCUCCUUAUGCUCCCUUCUACUCUAAUCUUUUAAAAAUUUCUUCCUUUUUAAUAAUGAAAAGGAAUCCUUGUUCGCUCUUGAAAAUUUUAAAAGUACAGAGAAGCAAAAGGAGAAAAACAUCAUACUCUCUUUGAGUGCAUAAAUUUUAACAUUUUGUGCAUCCUUUCAGUGUUUUCAGUGCCUAUAUGUGCACAUAAAUGUGUUGCUUGAACUAAAAUGGGGUCAGUAGAAUCAGAUUCUACUCUAUAAUAUGAAUCAGAUUCAUAUUAUACUGUCUAGCUUUUCUCACUUCAUACCACAUUGUGAACGUAUCUCCCUGUGAAUAAAUGCACAUCUAAUCCAUUGUUGUAAUGGUGAUGGGGAAUUCCGUUGAAUGGAUAUACCACAAUUUACUUAACCCAUCCCUUUUUCUUGGUCAUCUCUUAGAAAGUUGAAUAUUUAGAUGGUUCCCAUUUUCACUCUUAUAAACACUCUUCCA
ensembl:lncRNA